UAAAUUCUGUUUUUUUGCAGUCUGUCGUACAGUUUUGUGUAUGCCCUUGCAAAGAGAGUAUAUUCAGUUUGCUCAACAGCUAAAAACGACUAUAUAAAGUAUUCGCGAAGGUCGAAAAUUAAUGAGAAUUUCUUUAAAGUUCUCUGGUUUCCUUUUUCAUUUUAGUGAUCUGAAUAUGCGGGUGAAUGGAGGAGGAGAAGGAGAAACAGACAGAUGGAGGGUGAAGUCGUCGACAUCAUUUGGCAUUUGAUUGAUUUAUCGCUUGCAGCCAGCAUCAAGAAGAAAUUCCAAAAAAAUGAAACAGAUAAACGAGACCUGCAAAUGUUAAAUAUGCUAAAUUUAACAACUUUGAUUUCGUUGCAGUAAAUCCUUGACAGCUCAAGCCAGGCCAGGCCAAAAGCGAAUAGAAGCAGAAGAAAAAAGAAAAAGGCUAAAACGAAAAUGGAAAAGAAAAGGACAUUUGGCCAAGCGAUAAGCGUUGUGAGUCACUCAGCAUUCAUCCUGCAUAGCCUUGUUGCAACUUACUUUGCGUAAUAGGAUACAAAAUUGCAAUGUUGCUGCAGCAUCAGCAACAACAGCAACGACAACAACAACAACAACAACAACAACAACCAACUGGAACAUCAACAGCAUCCACUUGGCCACUCGCUUGUUUGCCUUUUGUCAGCUUUUUUACCUAAUUCCCUAGAUUAGCUGCAUUAUGCGCCACACCGGGCACAUAAUAAUAACAACAACAACAACAACAGCAGCAACAACUGGAACAGCAACAACAUGACAUAGGCCUACUGGGGGAUGUUGUGCAUGUUGUCAUCAUCGCUGCUGUGUGUGUGUGUGUGUGUGGACUAGGCACUUGAGCAAUAACGGCUGCAGCUGCUGAUGGGCUACGAAAUGGGCUAACGCACUUCAUGUUGCAAUACCUCUUGGCCGUGUGCGAGAAGUUGCCACCCGAAAAACAUGCGCUUAGUGGCACACACUUUGUACAAUGGGCACAUUCGAAACAACAUCAGCUAAAUGUAAAAGUUUUGCAAACUUAUCUAGAAACUGAAAUGAUAUAACGAAGUGUUAAAUAGAAACAUUUUGUAUUAACUCAUGAACUAAAUUCAUCUCAAAAUUAAAUUUUGGUAUCAAGUAUGAAUAAGUUAAUUAAAUAGCUUUAAAGUGAAUUAAAUUAAUAAUACAAAUUAUGUUUAAAGUUUUAGAAGAAGUUAACAAAGUCUUGUGGCGAAAUUUUUAAAUUAUUUUGAACUACAAAUUAAUCUGUUAUGAAUAUAAUUUUUAAUUGAUAAAUAAAAUUAAAA